AAAAAGUCGUAACAAGGUCUCCGUAGGUGAACCUGCGGAGGGAUCAUUA
rnacentral:rRNA from 1 species